GGCAGAGGAGAAACAGACGAAUGCACAAGAUGGCGGGUGCCUGAGCAGGAGGAAGAGGAGCGAGAGAGCGUGUCUGCUAUACUCCGUAAUCUUCACCUGAGUGGUGUUGGAUGCUGGUGACCUGGCAAUACUCGUUUGGAGCCUGACAAAAUCUGAGCUGUCACCCAAGAUGCCCAGAAGAGCAGAAUGGAGCGGAGUGGAGUAGAGGGCGGCAGAA